AGGGAGAAAGAGCUACAGAUUUUCCAGAGACCUGACAGUGGCUUUGAAGACAGUGGUGGAGUCAAAUCCUGCUUGUACCCUAAUAAGUCUCUGCUCCUUUAAUAUUCAGGUACAGGCAGCCAGCAAUGGAGGAGGCCUCAGGACCACCGGCUUCCUUCUGGGUCUCUCCGACACUGCCCUGGUGGUGCAGUAGGGGAGGCUUGCUACAGCUUGGCCAGGGUGGAAGGCCAGACCCAUCCCUUGGCCUUCGCGGGCGUGGGCAGUGUUUUCUGUGGAGCUGGGCUAGAGCAGAGUGGUUAUUAUCUAAACGUUUCCUGUCUUGCCAAGCUGCCCCUUGUCUGGUCUUCUAGUUAGAGAGUGCAGACUCUUCUUGGAGCUUCUUCAGUCGACCCAUUGACGUUUCUGGGUUUCUAGCUUGUCUAGUAUUCAGUUUGGGAACAACCCAGAGAGCCCACCACCCUGCUGUUAGUUGGGUCCUAACAUUCCAGCUGGUCUGCCUUCUUCUCUCCACCUUCCAGAGUCUUCUUACGUUUGUUUUAUAUCAAAUAUCUAGGAUUUUUUUUUUUGUAUUUAGUGGGAAGAAGAGGGAAAAACAUAUUUAUUCCAUUUUUCUGGAAAUUCUAGAACAAGGUUCUUUUCAUUUUGUACCUGUUGAAACCCUCAAAUGAUUACUUCCCCAUACUGCUGGGUUCUUGGGAGGAUUCAAGAUGAGGCACAGAAAGUGUAGAGCAAACAGUAAGUGCUCAAAUAAAGGUCAAGAGGAGAAAGAGAUGUUGCAAUUCUCUCUCUCUCUUUUUUUUCUUCCAGAGUCUUGCUCUGUUGCUCAGGCAAUGGUGCAAUGGUGCAAUCUCGGCUCACUGCAACCUCCACCUCCUGGGUUCAAAUGAUUCUCCUGCCU
rnacentral:lncRNA from 1 species